rnacentral:rRNA from 1 species
AACCCGCCAUCGAAUGAGGCAAGACUACCCGCUGAACUUAAGCAUAUCACUAAGCGGAGGAGAAGAAACUAACCAGGAUGCCCCUAGUAAUGGCGAAUGAAGCGGGCUGAGCUCACGCUGCCAAUCUGGAGGCCUCGCGUAUGCAGCGCCCCCCGAAUUGUGGUCUAGAGAGGCGUUAUCGGCCGCGCCCGCCGCUCAAGUCCCUUGGAACAGGGUGUCGGAGAGGGUGAGAAUCCCGUACCGUGGCGGGUUGCGGCCUUACGAUGCGUCCUCGUCGAGUCGGGUUGCUUGGGAUUGCAGCUUGAAUUGGGUGGUAAAUUCCAUCUAAAGCUAAAUACUGGCGAGAGACCGAUAGCGAACAAGUACCGUGAGGGAAAGAUGCAAAGAACUUUGAAAAGAGAGUCAAAGAGUGCUUGAAAUCGGUAGGAGGAAACCCGGAUGGGCCCGGCUUCGGCGUGCCGACUCAGCCUGGGGUUCUCCCCAGGUGCACUUCUGCGCGCCGGGUCAGCCGCGCCUCGGCGCCGCGCCUCAACCCGGGAGCGGGGCUUUACGGCCAGCUCCCGUCCUGGCGCGGCCCGGGGCCCGGCUGACGGAACGGGCCCCUCCGACCCGUCUAGAAACACGGACCAAGGAGUCUGACACGUGUGCGAGUACCCGGGUGGCAAGCCCGCGUGCGGAAUGAAAGUGAAGGGCAUGCCCUGCCAACCGACCUUGACCUGCUGUGAGGGGUUUGAGUGGAGCACACCUGUCGGGACCCGAAAGAUGGUGAACUAUGCCUGGGUAGGGUGAAGCCAGAGGAAACUCUGGUGGAGGCUCGUAGCGAUACUGACGUGCAAAUCGUUCGUCGAAUCUGGGCAUAGGGGCGAAAGACUAAUCGAACCAUCUAGUAGCUGGUUCCCUCCGAAGUUUCCCUCAGGAUAGCUUGAACGCAACGGUUUUGUCAGGUAAAGCGAAUGAUUAGAGGCCUGUGGGCUGAAACAGCUUGCACCUAUUCUCAAACUUUAAAUGGGCAAGAGGCCCGGGAUGCUUGAGUGAUCCCGGGCGGCGAACGGCGCGUUCAAAGUGGGCCAUUUUUGGUAAGCAGAACUGGCGAUGCGGGAUGAACCGAACGCCGCGCUAAGGUACCCAAGUGUCCGCUCAUCAGAUACCACAAAAGGCGUUGGUACCUCCAGACAGCAGGACGGUGGCCAUGGAAGUCGGAACCCGCUAAGGAGUGUGUAACAACUCACCUGCCGAAGGUACUAGCCCUGAAAAUGGAUGGCGCUCAAGCGGACCACCGAUGCGCGGCCGCCGGCGCGAGCGCGAGGCGCCGGCGAGUAGGAGGGCGCGGGGCUCGCGGCGCAGCCUUGGGCGCGAGCCUGGGUGAAGCGGGCCCCGGUGCAGAUCUUGGUGGUAGUAGCAAAUAUUCAAAUGAGAACUUUGAAGACUGAAGUGGAGAAAGGUUCCGUGUGAACAGCAGUUGGACACGGGUGAGCCGACCCUAAGAGACAGGAAAACUCCGCCGAACGCGGCUGGUUCUGUCAGCCCGUCCGUCGAAAGGGAAUCGGGUUAAUAUUCCCGAGCCAGCGCGUGGAUGGUGGGCGGCGACGCGAACGAACCCGGAGACGCCGGCGGGAGCCCUGGGAAGAGUUCUCUUUUCUUCUUAACUGCCUCCUGCCCUGGAAUCGGUUUAGCCGGAGCGAGGGCUACACGGCAGGCAAAGCACCCUAAGUCUUGGGGUGUCCGGCGCGCUCCCGACGGCCCGUGAAAAUCCGGGGGAGCGGUUCGUUCUCACGCCUGGUCGUACUCAUAACCGCAUCAGGUCUCCAAGGUGAACAGCCUCUAGUCGAUAGAGCAAUGUAGGUAAGGGAAGUCGGCAAAAUGGUUCCGCAACCUCGGGAGAAGGAAUGGCUCUGAAGGCUGGGCGCAGGGGUCCUAGGCUCGAGGCCGGCUGGCUGCGCGGGGACUACGGCCUCACGGCUGCGGAUCCCGCGCGGCCGUCCGGCGGACGGCCUAGGAGCGCUCCGGCUCUCCCUGCGCGACGAACAGCCGCUUCAGAACUGGCGCGGACAAGGGGAAUCCGACUGUUUAAUUAAAACAAAGCAUUGCGAUGGCCCGCGAGGGUGCUGACGCAAUGUGAUUUCUGCCCAGUGCUCUGAAUGUCAAAGUGAAGAAAUUCAACCAAGCGCGGGUAAACGGCGGGAGUAACUAUGACUCUCUUAAGGUAGCCAAAUGCCUCGUCAUCCAAUUAGUGACGCGCAUGAAUGGAUUCGUGAGAUUCCCACUGUCCCUAUCUACUGUCUAGCGAAACCACAGCCAAGGGAACGGGCUUGGAAGAAUCAGCGGGGAAAGAAGACCCUGUUGAGCUUGACUCUAGUCUGUUACUGUGGAACGACUUGAUGGGUGUAGAAUAUGCGGGAGGGGCAACCCGACAGUGAAAUACCGCAACCGUCAACGUUGUUUUACUUACUCGGUGGCGCGGAGGGAGGCUCGCCUCACUUCUGGAUCCAAGCCGCUUCGUGCGCGCGAUCCGCGUCGGGGACACUAACAGGUGGGGAGUUUGGCUGGGGCGGCACGUCUGUUAAAAAAUAACGCAGGCGCCCGAUUUUGAGCUCAAUGAGAACAGAAAUCUCAUGUGGACCGAAAGGGGAAAAGCUCGGUUGAUUUUGAUUUUCAGUACGAAUACAAACCGCGAAAGCGUGGCCUAUCGAUCCUCUCGUCUUUGGGAAUUUCAAGCUAGAGGUGUCAGAAAAGUUACCACAGGGAUAACUGGCUUGUGGCUGCCAAGCGUUCAUAGCGACGUAGCUUUUUGAUCCUUCGAUGUCGGCUCUUCCUAUCACUGCCUCGCAGCGGGGGCCAAAUGCAGGAUUGUUCACCCACCAACAGGGAACGUGAGCUGGGUUUAGACCGUCGUGAGACAGGUUAGUUUUACCCUACUGCUGUCUGUUUUUCUACGGUAAUUUGGUUCAGUACGAGAGGAACCACCAAUUCGCAUCAUCGGUAUAGCCGCCGCCGGAAACGGCGAUGCGGCGAAGCUGCCAUGCGCCGGAUUAUAACUGAACGCCUCUAAGUUAGAAUCCAUGCCGGAAGGAAAGCCACCUACCGGCCCGGGGACGCCACGAGCAACGGUAGCACUGCCUGAGCCGCGAGCGACCACAAUUCACGGACCCGGGCCGACGAAUCCCUUGCAGACGACUUGAAUAAGGAACGGGGUAUUGUACGCGGCAGAGUGGCCUUGUUGCCACGAUCCGCUGAG